GGAAACAAAUGAGAAGUUGUUGUACCAGCUCACUUAAACAUGCUAUGAGGUGUUCAAUAAUUCAAUUAAUAUUUCACUCUUCAAAUGAAGUGAAGAUUAAUUACAUAAAAAAUUUAUUUAAUACAUAUGCUAUCAGUUUGGUUUCAGUUAAUUGUGUAGUUUGAAUUAUGAGGACAGAAAUCAAAUUGAAGUUAUUAAAUAUAAUGAAUCAAAACUGAAUGAAAUGGACUAGUUAACCAAAUUUUUCGGUUUAAUUUUUUGAUUUCAUGGUUUCUUUUGCUCACCCCUACUUGUAUCCCCAUAGAAAAACAACCACUGUCCCAAGCAAGCAAUCAUGAACUGCUUUCUGCAGAGCUAAUACAGCUCUAGCAGAUGAACCUGACCAUGAGUGAGUUGUACACUAAUGCAUCAGAAGUUGUCUUUGAAGAGGGAUAAGCAUUUCAAUCAAUGAUAACCAAUACUAGAUUAUAAGACCCUCUCAACAGAUUAGGCAUAGUCAACUUGGAUAUUAAAUUAGUACUUUUCAAUCUUGGGGGAAUAUGAUUUGCAUUACAUAAUAGCAAGCAAAAACAAGCACGAGGAUAUAACAAGUAUUCAUUCUUAAAAGUAACUGAGCAAUCAAGGAACAUUCUUUAAAUUCAAAAGCUUCACAUGUCAGAACCAAAAUUUCUUAUUGCCAGAAACAAACAAGAGUAAUGUCACAGCAGUUUCAGAUUCCAUGAACUUCUCAAAAGCAAAUUAAAUUUAGGGUAAAUAACUAAAUAUUUUAUUUUCAAUUUGAAACAAUUAAGUCCUCCAAUUUUAAUUCUGGC
rnacentral:misc_RNA from 1 species